CUACGGGUGGCACCAGUGGGGAAUAUUGGACAAUGGGGGAAACCCUGAUCCAGCAAUGCCGCGUGUGUGAAGAAGGCCUGCGGGUUGUAAAGCACUUUCGGUUGGGAGGACUGCUUCUAGCACUAAUAUUGUUGGAAGUUGACGUUACCUUCAGAAGAAGCACCGGCUAACUCCGUGCCAGCAGCCGCGGUAAUACGGAGGGUGCAAGCGUAAUCGGAAUUACUGGGCGUAAAGCGCGCGUAGGCGGCUAGAUCAGUCGGGUGUGAAAGCCCCGGGCUUAACCUGGAAACUGCAUCCGAUACUGUCUAGCUUGAGUACAGGAGAGGAGAGUGGAAUUCCACAUGGAGCGGUGAAAUGCGUAGAUAGGUGGAGGAACACCAAUGGCGAAGGCAGCUCUCUGGCCUGAUACUGACGCUGAGGUGCGAAAGCGUGGGGAGCAAACAGGAUUAGAUACCCCCGUAGUC
rnacentral:rRNA from 1 species